UACGUAGGGGGGCUAGCGUUGUCCGGAAUCAUUGGGCGUAAAGAGCGUGUAGGCGGCCCGGUAAGUCCGCUGUGAAAGUCAAAGGCUCAACCUUUGAAUGUCAGCGGAUACUGCCGGGCUAGAGUCCGGAAGAGGCGAGUGGAAUUCCUGGUGUAGCGGUGGAAUGCGUAGAUAUCGUAAGGAAGACCAGUGGCGAAGGCGGGUCUCUGGACAGUUCCUGACGCUGAGGAGCGAAAGUGUGGGGAGCGAACAGG
rnacentral:rRNA from 1 species